rnacentral:rRNA from 1 species
GACGGAGGUGCCGAGCGUUAGGCGGAAUCACUGGGCUUAAAGCGUGUGUAGGCGGAUUUGUAAGUACCUUGUGAAAUCCCACGGCUCAACCGUGGAACUGCUUGGUAUACUGCUUAUCUUGAGCCACUUAGGGGCAGUCGGAACAGACGGUGGAGCGGUGAAAUGCGUAGAUAUCAGGAGGAAUACCGGUGGCGAAAGCGACUCUCUGGACGGCAACUGACGCUGAGGCACGAAAGCGUGGGGAGCAAACAGG